rnacentral:sRNA from 1 species
UUCCAGAGAGUGGAGUCUGUGGUUUAACCACAGAGUAAGUGCUGUUACCCAGCUUGUAAUGCAAGCUUCCCCACACUGCCCUCCACCCAUAACCCUCAUGCCUUAUGCUACAGUGACUUUUUUUAGUGAUGAGAGGGUAGUUCAGGCUCCAGUCUCAUUCAAUCCUUGGUCUCU